rnacentral:rRNA from 1 species
GGUUGAUCCUGCCAGUAGUCAUAUGCUUGUCUCAAAGACUAAGCCAUGCAUGUCCAAGUACAAUUAUUUCGUACAGAGAAACUGCAUACAGCUCAUUAUAUCAGUAACGAUUUAUUUGAAAGUACCUUACUAGAUGGAUAACCGUAGUAAUUCUAGAGCUAAUACAUGAAGAACAAUUCCGACUCGGGCAACUGGCAAGGAAUGUAUUUAUUAGAUAAAAAAUCAAUUUCUCAAUUGGUGACUCAUAAUAACUAAUCGAAUCGCACCUAAAAGUGGCGAUAGUUCAUUCAAAU